GACGAACGCUGGCGGCGUGCCUAAUACAUGCAAGUAGAACGCUGAAGGAGGAGCUUGCUUCUCUGGAUGAGUUGCGAACGGGUGAGUAACGCGUAGGUAACCUGCCUGGUAGCGGGGGAUAACUAUUGGAAACGAUAGCUAAUACCGCAUAAUAGUAGAUGUUGCAUGACAUUUGCUUAAAAGGUGCAAUUGCAUCACUACCAGAUGGACCUGCGUUGUAUUAGCUAGUUGGUGGGGUAACGGCUCACCAAGGCGACGAUACAUAGCCGACCUGAGAGGGGGCUCGGCCACACUGGGACUGAGACACGGCCCAGACUCCUACGGGAGGCAGCAGUAGGGAAUCUUCGGCAAUGGACGGAAGUCUGACCGAGCAACGCCGCGUGAGUGAAGAAGGUUUUCGGAUCGUAAAGCUCUGUUGUAAGAGAAGAACGAGUGUGAGAGUGGAAAGUUCACACUGUGACGGUAUCUUACCAGAAAGGGACGGCUAACUACGUG
rnacentral:rRNA from 1 species